UACGAAGGGGGCUAGCGUUGUUCGGAAUUACUGGGCGUAAAGCGCGCGCAGGCGGUCUUCCAAGUCAGUGGUGAAAGCCCGGAGCUCAACUCCGGAAUUGCCAUUGAAACUGUUAGACUUGAGGAUGAGAGAGGUGAGUGGAAUUCCCAGUGUAGAGGUGAAAUUCGUAGAUAUUGGGAAGAACACCGGUGGCGAAGGCGGCUCACUGGCUCAUUACUGACGCUCAGGCGCGAUAGCGUGGGGGAUCAAACAGG
rnacentral:rRNA from 1 species